rnacentral:tRNA from 1 species
UGUAGCUCAGUGGUAGAGCACUUGUCUAGCAUGUGUCAAGUACCUGGGUUCAAUUCCCAGUA